GGGACGCGGGGCCGGCCGCAGAGCUCCUCGGGGACGCGGGGCCGGCCGCAGAGCUCUUCGGGGAUGCGGGGCCGCGCUGCUCUCAGGGUGGUCCCGUCCCGUGGCGGGGAAGGCGCCGCAGGUGCGCGAACCUGAGGAAGCCCGAGGGGCCAGAAGCCCGUCGGACUUGCCUCGGCUUUAAUUCUGCCCGCGCCGUGGAGGGAACUGCGCCCCCAUCAUCAGGUGCAAACACCCUGACUGCAGAUGACCAUGAAACUGAGAAAACACAGCUGGACCCAGCAGAGCAUGUGAGCCUUGCCUCUGAGGACACCAACCUUGGCCAGCAGCUGCCGGGAGAGGAGGGCUCAGCCACCAUCCUGGACGUGAUGGGGAAGACAGAGUCAGUCAGCAAAAGGGAGGAGCCAGAGGGCACGGAGCCCCUGCCUGCAGGAGAGGAGGAAAGCUCUGAGCUGCCCUCUGUGUGGCGAGAGGAGAGCAAGGGGCCUUUGCUGCCAGCACCAGGAGAAGAUGCUGGGGCACCAUCACCAGGACCAGCAGAGGACAGUGGGCUGGUAGAGGGCAGUGACAGCUCUGUAGUGGAAAUUGUCGAGAAAGUACAUACUACUGAAGAGGACCACCUCAUUGAGGAGGCAUCUGAUGAAGAAGGGAUUUUCUAUUUUUAUGCUAUGGUGAGACGGGAGAACAGGUGGAAACUGAGCUGCUCAGUGAGACAGUAA
rnacentral:lncRNA from 1 species